UUAUUAUGGAUGUGCAUUGAGCACCAGCAGUGGGUAACCUUUGGGCAGACACAACUUCGACCCUCGUGCAGCACCCAGCUUGAUUGAUGGAAAUGCAAUUUAUCAUUUGGCCUCCCUGGUGCUGUUUAUUAUUUAAAAAAAAAGUUAUACUAGAUUCACUGAUGUCAUUCUUAAACUUUUGAUAUUAUGUGAGAGCAUUGGAGACGGGAGAAAGUUUGCCUACAUGCUAUAUAUUUUUGAGUUGUGUGCAGUACUUGGCAGAAAAUUCUAAAGUUGUUAUAUCAUGUCUUCUUGAUUAACAGUUAUGCUACGUAGAGAAAUAUUUCGUGCAGUCAUAAUAGUGCAAAAAAAUAAGCGAGUCACUUGGAAAAUAGUCUCUUCAGGAGGCUACGCUGGUUCCCUGAGGAUGAAGGGAGGCCCUCAGUGAGUAAGUUUCAGAAGAAAUGGGUGCAUGAGCCUCUACCCAAGACCCCCAGAUCUGCUGCGUUUGGCAGAGGACACGCCGUGGGGAAAGACGGCAGCUCGCUCUAAAGGUAAACACGCACCUGGUGCUAACAGCGCAGGCCGCAGGCCUCACAGCGCCCCAACAGCAGCAGAGCAUGUACUGAAGCGUCCGUCACCCGCAGACGGGCCGUGUGCCCCAGAGCCCACGGAGGGAGCAGGCGGCAGCCGGGGCAGGCGUUCCUGCUCAUCAGCGCUGGUCUGGUCCGCAGCAAGCUCUCCCCUCCCGGGCCUUUAAGAAGUCCUGUUCGUAAUUCUCACGAGAGAGAUCACGGCCUUCUUGGUGGGCUUGCUGGAGUGUGACCAGCUCCCCGCUGGCUACGCGACCUUGGGCAAGUCACCUCCCUGUGGGCUCAGUGGAUCCGAAUCCGUGUCAUCGGGCGAUGCCAGGUACCGGAAGGGCCACUUUCCUCAGCGGCCUCCCU